UACGUAGGGUCCAAGCGUUAUCCGGAAUCACUGGGCGUAAAGCGUACGUAGGCGGAUGUUUAAGUGAUAUGCGAAAUCUUGUGGCUCAACCAUAUAGACUGUAUAUCAUACUGGGCAUCUAGAGGAUGGCAGAGGCAAGUGGAAUUACUGGUGUAGCAGUGAAAUGCGUAGAGAUCAGUAGGAACACCAAUGGCGAAGGCAGCUUGCUGGGCCACACCUGACGCUGAGGUACGAAAGCGUGGGGAGCGAACAGG
rnacentral:rRNA from 1 species